GAUGAAGAACGCAGUGAAAUGCGAUAAGUAAUGUGAAUUGCAGAAUUCAGUGAAUCAUCGAAUCUUUGAACGCACAUUGCGCCCGCCAGUAUUCUGGCGGGCAUGCCUGAUCGAGCGUCAUUUCAACCAUCAAGCCCCCGGGCUUGUGUUGGGGACCUGCGGCUGCCGCAGGCCCUGAAAAGCAGUGGCGGGCUCGCUGUCACACCGAGCGUAGUAGAUUUUAUCUCGCUCUGGGCGUGCUGCGGGUUCCGGCCGUUAAACCACCCUUUUAACCCAAGGUUGACCUCGGAUCAGGUAGGAAGACCCGCUGAACUUAAGCAUAUCAAUAAGCGGAGGA
rnacentral:misc_RNA from 1 species